CGGGGGAGGCCGGAUCCUGGGCUGUCCUGGCGCCCUGUGCUCCGGGGCCUGCGCUGUUGGAUUCGCGCUCCCGCCCCGCAGCCCCCU
rnacentral:pre_miRNA from 1 species